rnacentral:rRNA from 1 species
CCUACGGGUGGCAGCAGUGAGGAAUAUUUGUCAAUGGGCUUACGCCUGAACCAGCCAAGUCGCGUGAGGGAAGACUGCCCUAUGGGUUGUAAACCUCUUUUGUCAGGGAGCAACGCCGGCUACGUUUAGCCUGACUGAGAGUACCUGAAGAAAAAGCAUCGGCUAACUCCGUACCAGCAGCCGCGGUAAUACGGAGGAUGCGAGCGUUAUCCGGAUGUAUUGGGUUUAAUGGGUGCGUAGGCGGAAUGCCAAGUCAGCGGUAAAAUCGCGGGGCUAAACCUCUGUCCGCCGUUGAAACUGGCAUUCUUGAGUGGGCGAGAAGUAUGCGGAAUGCGUAGUGUAGCGGUGAAAUGCAUAGAUAUCACGCAGAACUCCGAUAGCGAAGGCAGCAUACCGGCGCCCAACUGACACUGAGGCACGAAAGCGUAGGUAUCGAACAGGAUUAGAUACCCUGGUAGUC